AGACUACCGGGUUGAUAGGUCAGAGGUGUAAGUCCAGUAAUGGAUUCAGCUAACUGAUACUAAUCGGCCGUGAGGCUUGGCCUUAUU
rnacentral:rRNA from 1 species